CACGUAGUUAGCCGUGACUUUCUGGCGGAGCACCAUCAGUCAGCACCCAUUUCCUGAUGCUGCCUUUUUUCCCCCGCAACAGAGCUUUACGACCCGAAGGCCUUCUUCACUCACGCGGCAUCGCUCGUUCAGGCUUGCGCCCAUUGACGAAAAUUCCCUACUGCUGCCUCCCGCAGGAGUCUGGGCCGUGUCUCAGUCCCAAUGUGGCCGUCCGCCCUCUCAGGCCCGGCUAUGCAUCAUCGUCUUGGUGGGCCUUUACCCCGCCAACCAACUAAUGCACCGCAGGUCCAUCCGCGCCCCAUCCCCCGAAAGGAUGUUUCACAGAAAGAAGAUGCCUCCUUCCUGUACAUCGGGAUUUGUUCUCCGUUUCCAGAGCGUACUUCCCGGUGCGGCGGGCUACGGUUCCCUACGUUGUUACUCUACCCGUUCGCCACUAGACGACCGAGGUCUCUCGUCGUACUUGCAUGUAUAGGCAGUCGCCGCCAGUCGUUCGACUCCGUCGACCGAGGACUACUAAA
rnacentral:rRNA from 1 species